rnacentral:rRNA from 1 species
CUACGGGUGGCUGCAGUGAGGAAUAUUGCACAAUGGGGGGAACCCUGAUGCAGCAACGCCGCGUGGAGGAUGACGCAUUUCGGUGUGUAAACUCCUUUUAUAUGUCAAGAAAAUGACGGUAGCAUAUGAAUAAGCACCGGCUAACUCCGUGCCAGCAGCCGCGGUAAUACGGAGGGUGCAAGCGUUACUCGGAAUCACUGGGCGUAAAGGACGCGUAGGCGGGUUGGAAAGUCAGGUGUGAAAUCCUACAGCUUAACUGUAGAACUGCACUUGGAACUUCUAAUCUAGAGUAUGGGAGGGGGAGAUGGAAUUAGUGGUGUAGGGGUAAAAUCCGUAGAUAUCACUAGGAAUACCUAAAGCGAAGGCGAUCUCCUGGAACAUAACUGACGCUAAGGCGUGAAAGCGUGGGGAGCGAACAGGAUUAGAUACCCGUGUAGUC